AGAGUUUGAUCCUGGCUCAGGAUGAACGCUAGCGGCAGGCCUAAUACAUGCAAGUCGAACGGUAAGGUCCCGCUUGCGGGAUACACGAGUGGCGCACGGGUGAGUAACGCGUAUGCAACCUACCUUUAACUGGAGGAUAGCCCCGAGAAAUCGGGAUUAAUACUUCAUAACACUAUGAAACGACAUCGUUUUAUAUUUAAAGCUCCGGCGGUUAAAGAUGGGCAUGCGUGACAUUAGAUAGUUGGUGAGGUAACGGCUCACCAAGUCAGCGAUGUCUAGGGGUUCUGAGAGGAUUAUCCCCCACACUGGUACUGAGACACGGACCAGACUCCUACGGGAGGCAGCAGUAAGGAAUAUUGGGCAAUGGACGAAAGUCUGACCCAGCCAUGCCGCGUGCAGGAUGACAGCCCUAUGGGUCGUAAACUGCUUUUAUACGAGAAGAAACCUUCGGACGUGUCCGAGGCUGACGGUACCGUAUGAAUAAGACCGCUAAC
rnacentral:rRNA from 1 species